rnacentral:rRNA from 1 species
AGAGUUUGAUUCUGGCUCAGGACGAACGCUGGCGGCGCGCCUAACACAUGCAAGUCGAACGGAGCUGAGAGAAGCUUGCUUUUCUCAGCUUAGUGGCGAACGGGUGAGUAACGCGUGAGUAACCUGCCCUGGAGUGGGGGACAACAGUUGGAAACGACUGCUAAUACCGCAUAAGCCCACGAUCCGGCAUCGGAUUGAGGGAAAAGGAUUUAUUCGCUUCAGGAUGGACUCGCGUCCAAUUAGCUAGUUGGUGAGGUAACGGCCCACCAAGGCGACGAUUGGUAGCCGGACUGAGAGGUUGAACGGCCACAUUGGGACUGAGACACGGCCCAG